UACGUAGGUGGCGAGCGUUGUCCGGAAUCAUUGGGCGUAAAGGGAGCGCAGGCGGCCAUGUAAGUCUUGCUUAAAAGUUCGGGGCUCAACCCCGUGAUGGGCAAGAAACUAUAUGGCUUGAGUGCAGGAGAGGAAAGCGGAAUUCCCAGUGUAGCGGUGAAAUGCGUAGAUAUUGGGAGGAACACCAGUGGCGAAGGCGGCUUUCUGGACUGCAACUGACGCUGAGGCUCGAAAGCCAGGGGAGCGAACGGG
rnacentral:rRNA from 2 species